rnacentral:lncRNA from 1 species
CCAAUCUGCGCCCCUAUAAUGUUACGCUUGAUAAACGAGGGCCGAAGGCACGAGCCGAGCGCCGCAGGUGCGAGGUUUGUUUAGGGGGGUCCGGGGGCAUGCCCCCAAGGAAAAUUUUUGAAUUUAGAGUCUCUGAAAUGCCAUUUCCUGGACUUUGGAGGAAGAUUUGACAGAAAUCUGAUGGUCAGGAAACGGCAUUAUAACAUGUCGA